AUGAGGUGCUUGCACCUUAUCUUAGCGGCGGACGGGUGAGUAAUGCUUAGGAAUCUGCCUAUUAGUGGGGGACAACAUUCCGAAAGGAAUGCUAAUACCGCAUACGUCCUACGGGAGAAAGCAGGGGAUCUUCGGACCUUGCGCUAAUAGAUGAGCCUAAGUCGGAUUAGCUAGUUGGUGGGGUAAAGGCCUACCAAGGCGACGAUCUGUAGCGGGUCUGAGAGGAUGAUCCGCCACACUGGGACUGAGACACGGCCCAGACUCCUACGGGAGGCAGCAGUGGGGAAUAUUGGACAAUGGGGGGAACCCUGAUCCAGCCAUGCCGCGUGUGUGAAGAAGGCCUUAUGGUUGUAAAGCACUUUAAGCGAGGAGGAGGCUACUGAGACUAAUACUCUUGGAUAGUGGACGUUACUCGCAGAAUAAGCACCGGCUAACUCUGUGCCAGCAGCCGCGGUAAUACAGAGGGUGCGAGCGUUAAUCGGAUUUACUGGGCGUAAAGCGUGCGUAGGCGGCUUUUUAAGUCGGAUGUGAAAUCCCCGAGCUUAACUUGGGAAUUGCAUUCGAUACUGGGAAGCUAGAGUAUGGGAGAGGAUGGUAGAAUUCCAGGUGUAGCGGUGAAAUGCGUAGAGAUCUGGAGGAAUACCGAUGGCGAAGGCAGCCAUCUGGCCUAAUACUGACGCUGAGGUACGAAAGCAUGGGGAGCAAACAGGAUUAGAUACCCUGGUAGUCCAUGCCGUAAACGAUGUCUACUAGCCGUUGGGGCCUUUGAGGCUUUAGUGGCGCAGCUAACGCGAUAAGUAGACCGCCUGGGGAGUACGGUCGCAAGACUAAAACUCAAAUGAAUUGAC
rnacentral:rRNA from 1 species